rfam:Myotis davidii contig58361, whole genome shotgun sequence.
AGGCCUGCAGAGAGAGAGGCAGGGUCUUAUCUGAAGCUUCAGUGGAAGCUGUUGAUCAGCCAUUGCCUCUCUCUUUCUCUCGG